GACGAACGCUGGCGGCGUGCUUAACACAUGCAAGUCGAACGGAAAGGCCCUGCUUUUGUGGGGUGCUCGAGUGGCGAACGGGUGAGUAACACGUGAGUAACCUGCCCUUGACUUUGGGAUAACUUCAGGAAACUGGGGCUAAUACCGGAUAGGAGCUCCUGCUGCAUGGUGGGGGUUGGAAAGUUUCGGCGGUUGGGGAUGGACUCGCGGGUUAUCAGCUUGUUGGUGGGGUAGUGGCUUACCGAGGCUUUGACGGGUAGCCGGCCUGAGAGGGUGACCGGCGACAUUGGGACUGAGAUACGGCCCAGACUCCUACGGGAGGCAGCAGUGGGGAAUAUUGCACAGUGGGCGGAAGCCUGAUGCAGCAACGCCGCGUGCGGGAUGACGGCCUGCGGGUUGUAAACCGCUUUCGCCUGUGACGAAGCGUGAGUGACGGUAAUGGGUAAAGAAGCACCGGCUAACUACGUG
rnacentral:rRNA from 1 species